AAAUGAAUAGACGGGGGCCCGCACAAGCGGAGGAACAUGUGGUUUAAUUCGAUGAUACGCGAGGAACCUUACCUGGGCUCGAACGCCACCGGAAGCACCCCUGAAAGGGGGGCGCCAGCAAUGGCCUGUGGCGAGGUGCUGCAUGGUUGUCGUCAGCUCGUGCCGUGAGGUGUCGGGUUAAGUCCCACAACGAGCGCAACCCCUACUGCUAGUUGCCAGCGCGUCAUGGCGGGGACUCUAGCGGAACUGCCGGCGUAAGCCGUGAGGAAGGUGGGGAUGACGUCAAAUCAGCACGGCCCUUAUGUCCAGGGCUACACACGUGUUACAAUGGUCGGUACAACGGGUUGCCACCCCGCGAGGGGGCGCGGAUCCCGAAAGCCGAUCCCAGUUCGGAUCGGAGUCUGCAACCCGACUCCGUGAAGCUGGAUUCGCUAGUAAUCGCGCAUCAGCCACGGCGCGGUGAAUACGUUCCCGGGCCUUGUACACACCGCCCGU
rnacentral:rRNA from 1 species